AGUGGAUAGCUUAACCUUCGGGGAGGCGUUCACCACGGUGUGGUUGAUGACUGGGGUGAAGUCGUAACAAGGUAGCCGUAGGGGAACCUGCGGCUGGAUCACCUCCUUAUAGA
rnacentral:rRNA from 1 species